rnacentral:rRNA from 1 species
AAUGGGGGCAACCCUGAUCCAGCCAUGCCGCGUGUGUGAAGAAGGCCUUCGGGUUGUAAAGCACUUUAAGUUGGGAGGAAAGGGUGCUGGCUAAUAUCCAGUAUCUAUGACGUUACCAACAGAAUAAGCACCGGCUAACUCCGUGCCAGCAGCCGCGGUAAUACGGAGGGUGCAAGCGUUAAUCGGAAUUACUGGGCGUAAAGCGCGCGUAGGCGGCUAGUUAAGCUAGAUGUGAAAUCCCUGGGCUCAACCUGGGAACUGCAUUUAGAACUGACUGGCUAGAGUGCAGAAGAGGAGUGUGGAAUUUCCGGUGUAGCGGUGAAAUGCGUAGAGAUCGGAAGGAACAUCAGUGGCGAAGGCGACACUCUGGUCUGACACUGACGCUGAGGUGCGAAAGCGUGGGUAGCAAA